AUUGGUGGAUCGGUGAAUAAUGAUUGAUGAGUCAUUUUAAAAGUCGUCCACGUCGUGCAAGUGCUAUUUUGUACUCUCCUAGAGAUUCCCCAACGUGUUUGGUGUUUUGUCGAAGAAAAAUGAAGUCCAGAUAUCCAGAGUUCCAGACCAAGAUGAUAGGAGGAGCCCAAACCCUACCCAGAAACCAAACAUGGAGAAGAGGAACUUGAGUUUGGUGAUUACUGAUUAGUCAUCGUGGUCAUCAUGAACGUGGAAGCAAACGGCAAUCUCGAGACAAUCGGAAUUAAAUAGUGAGUGAAAUUAUUUCCAUUUUUCGUUUAGUUAGCAGGAUGCAAAUGAAUUUACUAUGCAUCGUCAGUGUGAGCACUGAAUGUGGGUAUCGUUUUUGAAUUGAGAACUCUUUUGGCGUUCAACUCUUGAUCGCUAGAUGGCUUCUUUGUCGUUAGAACUUAGAAGAACAAAUCCCAACUUUUCGCUUCGCUUUUCCUAGAUAUUGUUUACAGAAAACAUAUCACAUAGUAAGACCACAAAAGAAAAGACAAUGGAAGAAUACAAGAGAAGAACUUGUAUUGUGGUACAACAAUUGGACAAUGUUUUUUUAAAACAGUUUGUUCAAUGGGCGACAACUCGAGAAUCGUCUCGUUUCCCGCCGAAUUCUAAGAUCAA